rnacentral:rRNA from 1 species
GGACCCGCACAAGCAGCGGAGCAUGUGGUUUAAUUCGAAGCAACGCGAAGAACCUUACCAAGGCUUGACAUCCCCUUGACAGAUGCAGAGAUGUAUCCUCCUCUUUUGAGGCAAGGGAGACAGGUGGUGCAUGGUUGUCGUCAGCUCGUGUCGUGAGAUGUUGGGUUAAGUCCCGCAACGAGCGCAACCCUUAUCCUUAGUUGCCAGCACAAAAGGUGGGCACUCUAAGGAGACUGCCGGUGAUAAACCGGAGGAAGGUGGGGAUGACGUCAAAUCAUCAUGCCCCUUAUGUCUUGGGCUACACACGUGCUACAAUGGUCGGUACAACGGGCAGCUAUGGAGCGAUCCGGAGCAAAUCCCAAUAAACCGAUCCCAGUUCGGAUUGCAGGCUGCAACUCGCCUGCAUGAAGUCGGAGUUGCUAGUAAUCGCGAAUCAGAACGUCGCGGUGAAUGCGUUCCCGGGUCUU